AUUGAACGCUGGCGGCAGGCCUAACACAUGCAAGUCGAACGAGUGGCGGACGGGUGAGUAAUGUCUGGGAAACUGCCCGAUGGAGGGGGAUAACUACUGGAAACGGUAGCUAAUACCGCAUACCAUCGGAUGUGCCCAUAUGGGAUUAGCUAGUAGGUGGGGUAACGGCUCACCUAGGGGACGAUCCCUAGCUGGUCUGAGAGGAUGAUCAGCCCCACUGGGACUGAGACAAGGCCCAGACUCCUACGGGAGGCAGCAGGGGGGAAUAUUGCAAAAUGGGCGGAAGCCUGAUGCAGCCAUGCCGCGUGUAUGAAGAAGGCCUUAGGGUUGUAAAGGACUUUCAGCGGGGAGGCGUUACUCGCAGAAGAAGCACCGGCUAACUCCGUGCCAGCAGCCGCGGUAAUAC
rnacentral:rRNA from 1 species